ensembl:lncRNA
GGGACUUGGUGAGGAGAGCAAAUUUAAAGGCCCCCAGAGGAGACUAAGCUUGAUGAUAAGAUGAAGGCCACGCCAGCAUCACCACACAAGGAGAGAGGUGGAAAGAGACAAGAAGAGGUGGUUGUAUUAGUUUCCUAUGGCUGCUAUGGUGGCUCAAAACAAGAGAAAUUCAUUGUCUCAUAAACCAGGAGGCCAGAAGUUGAAAUUAAGGAUCAUUCUGACCAGUAUAUAAAGAAAGAGUUCUCAGUAGAAGAGAAAAGACAUACGAAAAGCCAGUGCACUGACUCCUGCAGUCAUUAAGGAGAGAGAUGAUAGAGGCUUGAAGCGAGCGUGUUGGCAUUUACAGCCGAGGGGUGUGGACCUUGGGGGAAGGAUCUGAAGGAUUUGCUACUCUGGUGGGACUCUCCCUAUGGGACGAAUGAUCAUUCAGCACUGACUUAAGGCUUGGCUAUGUGACUAGCUGUGGCCAAUGAACUGUGAGCAGAAGUGGCGAGUUAUUCACCAAACAGAAACUUUCAAAUCCAUUGCAUGCUCUGCAUUGCACUUUGCCUUCAGGGUCAAGAUCCCAGCUGGGACUCACUGCUUCAGCACAAACCCAGUGGAAGAAGAUGUGAAGAGCAGGUCUCUACCCAAUAUUUCGUGUGGGGGAAAAAUAAACCUUGUUUCUGGGAGCUAUGGAGACUCGGGACUAACCAUUAACCACAGCAUAAACUAGAGAAAGCUGAGAAAACCAUCACAUCCUAUGUAGGGAAGUUGUAAAAUGAGAUGCUCUUAAUGGCUCUGGAGCCCACGGGCUUGUGGGAGGAACAGCAACCUUUACAUCAAACUUAUCUAAGGUCUGAGCCUAAGUCUGCCACAUACUAAGUUCUGAACAUCCACCAAUGAACCAAUGUCUCUGAGACUCAAUUUCCCAUCUGUCUUACAGGACUGUUGUGGGAUUAAAUGUGACCAUAUUGGCAAAGCAUAUGGUACAUUCCCACCUCUCUCUCCACAAAACAUCCUCAAGAGGCAUGUGGGAUCUUAGCCCCAUGACUAGGGAUCAAACCUGCACCCCCUGCAUCGGUAGAAGUCUUAAACACUGGACCUUCAGGGAAUCCUAAUAGCCAAAAAGGGGGAAAUAACCCCGGAAUCCAUCAGUGGGUGAAUGCGUAAACGAGCUGUGGUCCUUGCAUACAAUGGACUAUUAUUGAGCCUCAUGGAAGGAAGCCCAUGGAUGAACUUUGAAAACAUUGUGCUCAGGAAAUGAAAGAAGUCAGACAUAAAGGCCACAUACGGUAUCAGUUCAUUUAUGUGUAAUGCCCAAGGUAGGUCAGUCCAUAGAGGCUUAAGUAAUCUAGAUGACUACUUGCAGAAGAAAGAGAUAAAAGGGAAUGGGGUGAUGCCUGAUGGGUGUGGGGUUUAUUUGUGGGGUGAUUAAAAUAUUCUGAAACUGGCAAUAAUGGUUCAACCUUGUGAAUGUACUAAAAACUAUGAGACUGUGCAUUUCAAAACUAUGAAUUUAAUAUCAUCUCAAUGAAAAGAAAAGAGAAGAAGAAAGGUAUAAUUUGGGAGCGUCUUCUUAGUAGCACGUGGCAUGAAGGCUUGUAAGCCGCUGACUCAAUUCCAAUUGGACAGUUCUAUUUUUGGUUUUUUAAGGAGCCUCCAUACUGUUCUCCAUAGUGGCUGUACUGACUUACAUUCCCACCAACAGGGCAGGGGGGUUCCCUUUUGUCCACACUUGCUCCAGAAUUUAUCAUCUAAAGAUUUUUUGAAGAUAGCCAUUCUGACUGGUGCAAGAU